GCGUUUGUUUUUCUGCACAGAUGUCCCCAUCACGAUCAAAGUAUCUGGAAAACUGUUUGCGUUCCCGGCGUGGCCCCAGCUCCACCCAUAGUCAGCGCUUACAGUAAUAGCUGUUCCACCUCCUUCUCCCCUUCCCCCAUUAAAUAGUUGGAAAGGAACAGCCACCUACUCCGGUUAGCUUCUCUGAAGCCAACAAAACUAAGGCGGGGCGGGAAUCUAAACUUGUGCCUCAUAUUCUGUGGAUCAUUAGGAGAAAUAUAUUCAAAACAAGAUACUAAUUGAUAUUGGGAGAAGUGCAUACUCUCAUCUCUGCUUGCAAGAAAGUGACAUUCUGUACCCUUCUAAAGGACAAUACAUCAAG